rnacentral:lncRNA from 10 species
CCUGGCUGGAACUGCCUUUUUAUGAAGCUUGGAGGUUGAAUCCAGGAAACAGUACCUGCCCUAUAACUUGUUAUGCACCAGAGCCUCCCCAACUUGCCUUGUUUCCUCCAAAGGAGGACUAAGCUGAGGUCACUUGGAACCAUCCUUCCAAAAAGCUCACCUUCUCUGGCAAGUUUGGGAAAGCCUUGGUUUCCCUUGUUCCUUCUGUCACUCUGCAGCAGGUGACUGAAAGUCUCAGGUGCCCUCUCAAACGAGGCCAGCUCCCCUCGACUCUCUGUGCAACACAUGACAGGUAGCCACACCUUCCAAGAUGGCAGUGAUGCUGGCUAGGAGGAGAAACUGCCCACAACGACCAAAUCAGUAUUGCCCCUUAAUCAGAUGGGAAAAGCUCCAGACAACUGUCACCACAUAGGUAGCUUAGCAUUUGCCAACUACCUCAAACAUGGAACACUUCUCUUACCCAAGAUGGUGCUGGCUCUGCGUCCCAAAUGUCAGAUUGUAUUUGUGGGUUGUUUCUAGAAACCUCCAAGUCAGAGGGCCCAGGAGCUUUGGAGCUUCUAAAGCAAUCUCAUUUUCUAUGGAGAACUUUAAACCCAAGGAAAGCUGGCAAUUUGAAGACUAGGUUUUAACUCAAAAAACCAAACCCUCCCCACUCACAUUUUCCAGAGGCUCUAAAGUUUAGGGAAGGGUGACAUCUUUUUAAGAUUUAAGAUUUUUAAGUACCAAAAAGGAAGUUUAAACAGAAUUGAGAACAAGUGGCUCAGGGCAGGGAGAGGUGUGCCUGGGAAAAUGGCAGUUGUCACUCCUCGCAUCCUUAGAAGUUGGGAAAGGAACAUGGUACAUUCACCAAGGCUGCUGCUGCUCUUUCCUGUACAGCAGUCACAGGAGGCCUGGGCUGGACACUCAAUGGCCUCUUCUUGGCUUUUCCAAAUGGGAUCAACCAUUUGCUUUCAGAGUACAAUGUUGGGCAAUCAGGCUCCUCAGCUCUGGAAAAAACCAUUCUACCAAUAACAACUUACACAGGACGUUAAGAACAAACACACAAACCACCACUCAAUCAAGGAAAACUAUUAAGCUGCUGUCUUGGCACUAAGGUAUUCAUAUAGUUUUACAUCUGCUAAGAGGCAGAUUACGCUGUGUCUCUGAUCAGAUAAAGAUCCACAAAUAGUUUAAUUUAAUGAAAAGUGACUGCUCAUCACAAAAAUGUCUGCCUUUGCCUUACCCAGACCAGGAGUAGACAUAGAAAGAGCAAAGCUGGUUGGUGAUUGUAUUAUACAUUCAGCCAGAGGACAAAGGCCUUAAAGGCUUACUUAGUCCUAACCAUUGAGCUUUUCUCCUUACAUUGACUAAGGUAAAAUAUGCCAGCAAUGAAGGAAUUGCUUCAUGAAUAGUAACCCUGACAAUGUGAUCCCGUCUCAUUUCCCUAUUUCUAAGCCCAUCUGAGAAAUUGGUCUGGAAAUAUACUGAGGGGCCUGAAUAUCAACCACUUAUACCAGUCCUGAUUAAAAAAGGUUAUAGUGCCAGGGAAACACUUAAAGAAGGUUUUUGUGGGAUGGAGAAAGCCAGUUUUCAUCUAAGUGCAUGCACAAUAUAAAAGAAAAUAGGCUGGGCGAGGUGGCUCAUGCCUGUAAUCCCAGCACUUUGGGAGGCCGAGGUGGGUGGACUGCUUGAGCUCAGGAGUGUGAGGCUGCAGUGAGCCAUGUUUGCACCACUGCAUUCUAGCCUGGGCAAAAAAGUGAGACCCUCUCUCAAAAAAAAAAAAAAAAAAAAAAAAAAAACCACACACAAAAAAAGAGAAAAGAGAGAAAGAAAAAGAGAAAGAAGGAAAGUAAAGAAAGAAAAAGGAAAGUGGGGAAGGAGGGAGGGAGGCAGGCAGGCAGGCAGGCAAAGGGCAGGGGAAGGGAGGGAAAGGAAGAGAAAGAAAGGGAAAGGAAGGGAAGAAAAGGAAAAUAGAAGGGACUAGCUCCAGGAGUGCCCCAAAGGAAGUCUAUUUCCUCUUGCUGGAUGUAUAGUGCAAAUAGUUUGCUACCUUCAGUUAUUUUCAUAUUAAAAAUCUGCUUUCUUGGCUGGGUGUGGUGGCAUGUACCAUAAGUCCCAGCAACUUGGGAGGUUGAGGUAGGGGGAUUGUUCGAGCCUAGAAGGUUGAGGCUGCAGUGAGCUGUGCUGUCAUGACUCCGACUGCACUCCAGCUUAGGCAAGAGAAUGAGACCCUGUCCCUCUCUUAAAAAAAAAAAAAAAAAAAAAAAAAGAUGAAGUCCCACUUGCCCAUAAUACUGAGAAUACAGGGUGAUUUUAGGCUUAAGCUAAAUUCUAACUCCUUUCCCCACAACUGUUAACAGUUAAGCCUUUUCUGCAAAGUCAAGGAUGCUAAUAAGAGAUGCUUGAAAUGCUUAUAAGAGAACUGUAAGAGGUUUUGGGUUUUAUCACACAAGUUCCAAGGUGGAGGAGCAGUGACAGUGAGAGAUAAGACAAGGUGAACAAGUUUAAAACCAAAAGCAGUGGACAUUUAUUCCUUAACUUUUGUGCAAGAGUGUAAAGAUGCAUUUGAA